rnacentral:rRNA from 1 species
CGGUACAGGUCUUCGGACGCUGACGAGUGGCGAACGGGUGAGUAAUACAUCGGAACGUGCCCAGUCGUGGGGGAUAACUACUCGAAAGAGUAGCUAAUACCGCAUACGAUCUGAGGAUGAAAGCGGGGGACCUUCGGGCCUCGCGCGAUUGGAGCGGCCGAUGGCAGAUUAGGUAGUUGGUGGGAUAAAAGCUUACCAAGCCGACGAUCUGUAGCUGGUCUGAGAGGACGACCAGCCACACUGGGACUGAGACACGGCCCAGACUCCUACGGGAGGCAGCAGUGGGGAAUUUUGGACAAUGGGCGAAAGCCUGAUCCAGCAAUGCCGCGUGCAGGAUGAAGGCCUUCGGGUUGUAAACUGCUUUUGUACGGAACGAAAAAGCUUCUCCUAAUACGAGAGGCCCAUGACGGUACCGUAAGAAUAAGCACCGGCUAACUACGUGCCAGCAGCCGCGGUAAUACGUA